rnacentral:rRNA from 1 species
CAACGCGCCUGGCCCGCUUUUAGUGAGUGUCGGUGCGCGUUUGCCAUCCUUCUAGAAAACGUUUCUACCUGGGCAACCGGGCCGGACUCGCGAUCUAGAUCUUUUACUUUGAAAAAAUUAGAGUGUUUAAAGCAGGCUUUUGCUGUGAAUACAUUAGCAUGGAAUAAUAAUCUAGGACUUCGGUUCUAUUUUGUUGGUUUCUAGUACUGAAGUAAUGAUUGAUAGGGAUAGUUGGGGGUGCUAGUAUUGGCCGGCCAGAGGUGAAAUUCUUGGAUUCGGUCAAGACUAACUUAUGCGAAAGCAUUCACCAUGGAUGUCUUCUUUAAUCAAGAACGAAAGUUGGGGGAUCGAAGACGAUCAAAUACCGUCGUAGUCUCAACCAUAAACUAUGCCAACUAGGGAUGGGAGAACGUUGUUUUUUUGACUUCAUCUGCACCUUAUGAGAAAU